GGUUAAGCGACUAAGCGUACACGGUGGAUGCCCUGGCAGUCAGAGGCGAUGAAGGACGUGCUAAUCUGCGAUAAGCGUCGGUAAGGUGAUAUGAACCGUUAUAACCGGCGAUUUCCGAAUGGGGAAACCCAGUGUGAUUCGUCACACUAUCAUUAACUGAAUCCAUAGGUUAAUGAGGCGAACCGGGGGAACUGAAACAUCUAAGUACCCCGAGGAAAAGAAAUCAACCGAGAUUCCCCCAGUAGCGGCGAGCGAACGGGGAGCAGCCCAGAGCCUGAAUCAGUGUGUGUGUUAGUGGAAGCGUCUGGAAAGGCGUGCGAUACAGGGUGACAGCCCCGUACACAAAAAUGCACAUAUUGUGAGCUCGAUGAGUAGGGCGGGACACGUGGUAUCCUGUCUGAAUAUGGGGGGACCAUCCUCCAAGGCUAAAUACUCCUGACUGACCGAUAGUGAACCAGUACCGUGAGGGAAAGGCGAAAAGAACCCCGGCGAGGGGAGUGAAAAAGAACCUGAAACCGUGUACGUACAAGCAGUGGGAGCACGCUUAGGCGUGUGACUGCGUACCUUUUGUAUAAUGGGUCAGCGACUUAUAUUCUGUAGCAAGGUUAACCGAAUAGGGGAGCCGAAGGGAAACCGAGUCUUAACUGGGCGUUAAGUUGCAGGGUAUAGACCCGAAACCCGGUGAUCUAGCCAUGGGCAGGUUGAAGGUUGGGUAACACUAACUGGAGGACCGAACCGACUAAUGUUGAAAAAUUAGCGGAUGACUUGUGGCUGGGGGUGAAAGGCCAAUCAAACCGGGAGAUAGCUGGUUCUCCCCGAAAGCUAUUUAGGUAGCGCCUCGUGAAUUCAUCUCCGGGGGUAGAGCACUGUUUCGGCAAGGGGGUCAUCCCGACUUACCAACCCGAUGCAAACUGCGAAUACCGGAGAAUGUUAUCACGGGAGACACACGGCGGGUGCUAACGUCCGUCGUGAAGAGGGAAACAACCCAGACCGCCAGCUAAGGUCCCAAAGUCAUGGUUAAGUGGGAAACGAUGUGGGAAGGCCCAGACAGCCAGGAUGUUGGCUUAGAAGCAGCCAUCAUUUAAAGAAAGCGUAAUAGCUCACUGGUCGAGUCGGCCUGCGCGGAAGAUGUAACGGGGCUAAACCAUGCACCGAAGCUGCGGCAGCGACGCUUAUGCGUUGUUGGGUAGGGGAGCGUUCUGUAAGCCUGCGAAGGUGUGCUGUGAGGCAUGCUGGAGGUAUCAGAAGUGCGAAUGCUGACAUAAGUAACGAUAAAGCGGGUGAAAAGCCCGCUCGCCGGAAGACCAAGGGUUCCUGUC
rnacentral:rRNA from 1 species